CACUCCUACGGGAGGCAGCAGUGGGGAAUUUUGGACAAUGGGCGAAAGCCUGAUCCAGCAAUGCCGCGUGUGUGAAGAAGGCCUUCGGGUUGUAAAGCACUUUUGUCCGGAAAGAAAUCCUUGGCUCUAAUACAGUCGGGGGAUGACGGUACCGGAAGAAUAAGCACCGGCUAACUACGUGCCAGCAGCCGCGGUAAUACGUAGGGUGCGAGCGUUAAUCGGAAUUACUGGGCGUAAAGCGUGCGCAGGCGGUUUGCUAAGACCGAUGUGAAAUCCCCGGGCUCAACCUGGGAACUGCAUUGGUGACUGGCAGGCUAGAGUAUGGCAGAGGGGGGUAGAAUUCCACGUGUAGCAGUGAAAUGCGUAGAGAUGUGGAGGAAUACCGAUGGCGAAGGCAGCCCCCUGGGCCAAUACUGACGCUCAUGCACGAAAGCGUGGGGAGCAAACAGGAUUAGAUACCCCAGUAGUCCC
rnacentral:rRNA from 1 species